GAUGAGGAAAACUGAGGCCAGAAGCAGUUACACAGGUCACGUUGCCUAUAAAUAGCAGAGCUGGGAUUCAGCCCCAGGUCGGUGUGCUCCAAAGCCCUUCGUCCUGUGUAACCGCUCACCAUCACCCCAUCCCUCCUCUUCUGUUCCUCACCACUAUGCCCUCCCUCUUCCUUCCAGCUUCUUCACAUCCCCUAACCCAUGGCCCCACCACUUAGCUUCUCAGGGUUCCAGCCCACGCCACUCACCCUCAUAUCUUAACUUUCCUGGCAGGAAUCUCAGCCCAGCACAAGUUGGUCCUUAAUUAUAGACUGCCUCGUGUGUUUCUCUGGUUAUUUCAUGUUUGCUGGUCUUAUUCCCAGGAAGCCUGUGAGUGUCUGAGUUAGGGGAUGAUGCUUCCACCCACUCGUGACCCCGGACCCCCUUUACCGAGCUGGGUGCGCAAAUACUCCGUGGACCUGACCUGCUUUCCCAGGAAGGAGGCCGGGUCCUGAUGCAACUCCACCCUGUGGCAUCCCACCUUCCACCCCAGCGGAGACAACACGAAAGUGUGGGACUUGGUGAGAGGGUGCUACAGUUUUGCCCGUGGCCUGUUCUAACAUGUGAACAAACACAAGUUCUUACGACAGAACAAAUAAAAACAAUUGUGUAACACACCACACACGCCCCGCAGAGCCUGGAGAAGGAGCCCGGGGAGGGGUGACGCUGGCGGGGGCAUGGGUGGUGUGAGUGUGUCCCCCUCCAAAGCCAUUAUCAACCUGCUGGCUUGGGCCCCUGGGGGGGAGGGGACAACUUCCUCUCAGAGGGAGGCCUGCAUCUAAUCCCUUUGCUGCAGCAGCGUCA
rnacentral:lncRNA from 1 species